rnacentral:rRNA from 1 species
GGACGGGUGAGUAACACGUGGGAACGUGCCUUUAGGUUCGGAAUAACUCAGGGAAACUUGUGCUAAUACCGAAUGUGCCCUUCGGGGGAAAGAUUUAUCGCCUUUAGAGCGGCCCGCGUCUGAUUAGCUAGUUGGUGAGGUAAAGGCUCACCAAGGCGACGAUCAGUAGCUGGUCUGAGAGGAUGAUCAGCCACACUGGAACUGAGACACGGUCCAGACUCCUACGGGAGGCAGCAGUGGGGAAUAUUGGACAAUGGGCGAAAGCCUGAUCCAGCAAUGCCGCGUGAGUGAUGAAGGCCUUAGGGUUGUAAAGCUCUUUUACCCGGGAUGAUAAUGACCGUACCGGGAGAAUAAGCUCCGGCUAACACCGUGCCAGCAGCCGCGGUAAUACGGAGGGAGCUAGCGUUGUUCGGAAUUAUUGGGCGUAAAGAGCUCGUAGGCGGUUUGUCGCGUCGGCUGUGAAAUCUGGAGGCUUAACCUUCAGCGUGCA